AUUGAACGCUGGCGGCAUGCUUUACACAUGCAAGUCGGACGGCAGCACAGAGAAGCUUACUUCUUGGGUGGCGAGUGGCGAACGGGUGAGUAAUAUAUCGGAACGUACCGAGUAAUGGGGGAUAACUAAUCGAAAGAUUAGCUAAUACCGCAUAUUCUCUGAGGAGGAAAGCAGGGGACCUUCGGGCCUUGCGUUAUUCGAGCGGCCGAUAUCUGAUUAGCUAGUUGGUGGGGUAAAGGCCUACCAAGGCGACGAUCAGUAGCGGGUCUGAGAGGAUGAUCCGCCACACUGGGACUGAGACACGGCCCAGACUCCUACGGGAGGCAGCAGUGGGGAAUUUUGGACAAUGGGCGCAAGCCUGAUCCAGCCAUGCCGCGUGUCUGAAGAAGGCCUUCGGGUUGUAAAGGACUUUUGUCAGGGAAGAAAAGGCUGUUGCUAAUACCGACAGCUGAUGACGGUACCUGAAGAAUAAGCACCGGCUAACUACGUGCCAGCAGCCGCGGUAAUACGUAGGGUGCGAGCGUUAAUCGGAAUUACUGGGCGUAAAGCGAGCGCAGACGGUUACUUAAGCAGGAUGUGAAAUCCCCGGGCUCAACCUGGGAACUGCGUUCUGAACUGGGUGACUAGAGUGUGUCAGAGGGAGGUAGAAUUCCACGUGUAGCAGUGAAAUGCGUAGAGAUGUGGAGGAAUACCGAUGGCGAAGGCAGCCUCCUGGGAUAACACUGACGUUCAUGCUCGAAAGCGUGGGUAGCAAACAGG
rnacentral:rRNA from 1 species